GCCGGUGUAGCUCAGUUGGUAGAGCAGCGCAUUCGUAAUGCGAAGGUCGGAAGUUCGAGUCUUCUCUCCGGCACCA
rnacentral:tRNA from 138 species